GAUGAACGCUGGCGGCGUGCUUAACACAUGCAAGUCGAACGUGAGGGUGCAGCGAUGUGCCUGAAAGUGGCGAACGGGUGAGUAACACGUAGAUGACCUGCCCUGGAGUGGGGGAUAACCAUUGGAAACGGUGGCUAAUACCGCAUACAUCCGGAGAACUGGGAAGUUUUCUGGGGAAAGCUCUGGUGCUUCAGGAGGGUCUGCGUCCGAUUAGCUAGUUGGUGGGGUAAAGGCUCACCAAGGCGACGAUCGGUAGCUGGUCUGAGAGGACGAUCAGCCACACGGGAACUGAGACACGGUCCCGACUCCUACGGGGGGCAGCAGUGAGGAAUAUUGGGCAAUGGGCGGAAGCCUGACCCAGCAACGCCGCGUGGAGGAAGACGGGCCUUCGGGUUGUAAACUACCUUUGUACGGGAAGAGAGAGGACGGUACCGUCCGAAUAAGUCACGGCUAACUACGUAGCCAGCAGCCGCGGUAA
rnacentral:rRNA from 1 species